rnacentral:rRNA from 1 species
CCUGGCUCAGAUUGAACGCUGGCGGCAUGCCUUACACAUGCAAGUCGAACGGCAGCACGGGAGCUUGCUCCUGGUGGCGAGUGGCGAACGGGUGAGUAAUACAUCGGAACGUACCCAGGAGUGGGGGAUAACGUAGCGAAAGUUACGCUAAUACCGCAUAUUCUGUGAGCAGGAAAGCGGGGGAUCGCAAGACCUCGCGCUCUUGGAGCGGCCGAUGUCGGAUUAGCUAGUUGGUGAGGUAAAAGCUCACCAAGGCGACGAUCCGUAGCAGGUCUGAGAGGAUGAUCUGCCACACUGGGACUGAGACACGGCCCAGACUCCUACGGGAGGCAGCAGUGGGGAAUUUUGGACAAUGGGGGCAACCCUGAUCCAGCCAUGCCGCGUGAGUGAAGAAGGCCUUCGGGUUGUAAAGCUCUUUCGGCGGGGAAGAAAUGGCAACGGCUAAUAUCCGUUGUUGAUGACGGUACCCGCAUAAGAAGCACCGGCUAACUACGUGCCAGCAGCCGCGGUAAUACGUAGGGUGCGAGCGUUAAUCGGAAUUACUGGGCGUAAAGCGUGCGCAGGCGGUUUC